rnacentral:rRNA from 1 species
CAGUCGCCACGGGAAUACGUAGGGUGCGAGCGUUAAUCGGAAUUACUGGGCGUAAAGCGUGCGCAGGCGGUUGUGUAAGACAGGUGUGAAAUCCCCGGGCUUAACCUGGGAACUGCGCUUGUGACUGCACAGCUAGAGUAUGGCAGAGGGGGGUGGAAUUCCACGUGUAGCAGUGAAAUGCGUAGAGAUGUGGAGGAACACCGAUGGCGAAGGCAGCCCCCUGGGCCAAUACUGACGCUCAUGCACGAAAGCGUGGGGAGCAAACAGGAUUAGAUACCCCCGUAGUCCCUGUCUCUUAUAC